rnacentral:rRNA from 1 species
AUUGAACGCUGGCGGCAGGCCUAACACAUGCAAGUCGAGCGGAGCGGCGGACGGGUGCGUAAUGCCUAGGACUCUGCCUGGUAGUGGGGGAUAACGUUCGGAACCGGGCGCUAAUACUGCAUACUAUCAGAUGAGUCUAGGCCGGAUUAGCUAGUUGGUGGGGUAAAGGCCUACCAAGGCGACGAUCCGUAACUGGGCUGAGAGGAUGAUCAGUCACACUGGAACUGAGACACGGUCCAGACUCCUACGGGAGGCAGCAGUGGGGAAUAUUGGACAAUGGGCGAAAGCCUGAUGCAGCCAUGCCGCGUGUGUGAAGAAGGUCUUCGGAUUGUAAAGCACUUUAAGUUGGGAGGCGUUACCAACAGAAUAAGCACCGGCUAACUUCGUGCCAGCCGCCGCGGUAAUAC